rnacentral:rRNA from 1 species
AACGAACGCUGGCGGCAUGCCUAACACAUGCAAGUCGAACGAGACCUUCGGGUCUAGUGGCGCACGGGUGCGUAACGCGUGGGAAUCUGCCCUUCGGUUGGGAAUAACUGAGAGAAAUUUCAGCUAAUACCUUAUAAUGUCUUCGGACCAAAGAUUUAUCGCCGAGGGAUGAGCCCGCGUAGGAUUAGGUAGUUGGUGGGGUAAUGGCCUACCAAGCCGACGAUCCUUAGCUGGUCUGAGAGGAUGAUCAGCCACACUGGGACUGAGACACGGCCCAGACUCCUACGGGAGGCAGCAGUGGGGGAUAUUGGACAAUGGGCGAAAGCCUGAUCCAGCAAUGCCGCGUGAGUGAUGAAGGCCUUAGGGUUGUAAAGCUCUUUUACCCGGGAUGAUAAUGACAGUACCGGGAGAAUAAGCUCCGGCUAACUCCGUG